rnacentral:rRNA from 1 species
GGGGUACGUUGCUCCGGAUUAUUGGGCGUAAGGGCUCGCAGGCGGUUUCUUAAGUCUGAUGUGAAAGCCCCCGGCUCAACCGGGGAGGGUCAUUGGAAACUGGGAAACUUGAGUGCAGAAGAGGAGAGUGGAAUUCCACGUGUAGCGGUGAAAUGCGUAGAGAUGUGGAGGAACACCAGUGGCGAAGGCGACUCUCUGGUCUGUAACUGACGCUGAGGAGCGAAAGCGUGGGGAGCGAACAGGAUUAGAUACCCUGGUAGUCCACGCCGUAAACGAUGAGUGCUAAGUGUUAGGGGGUUUCCGCCCCUUAGUGCUGCAGCUAACGCAUUAAGCACUCCGCCUGGGGAGUACGGUCGCAAGACUGAAACUCAAAGGAAUUGACGGGGGCCCGCACAAGCGGUGGAGCAUGUGGUUUAAUUCGAAGCAACGCGAAGAACCUUACCAGGUCUUGACAUCCUCUGACAACCCUAGAGAUAGGGCUUUCCCUUCGGGGACAGAGUGACAGGUGGUGCAUGGUUGUCGUCAGCUCGUGUCGUGAGAUGUUGGGUUAAGUCCCGCAACGAGCGCAACCCUUGAUCUUAGUUGCCAGCAUUCAGUUGGGCACUCUAAGGUGACUGCCGGUGACAAACCGGAGGAAGGUGGGGAUGACGUCAAAUCAUCAUGCCCCUUAUGACCUGGGCUACACACGUGCUACAAUGGACAGAACAAAGGGCUGCAAGACCGCAAGGUUUAGCCAAUCCCAUAAAUCUGUUCUCAGUUCGGAUCGCAGUCUGCAACUCGACUGCGUGAAGCUGGAAUCGCUAGUAAUCGCGGAUCACCUUGCCGCGGGGGGAAAACCGUUCCCGGGGCCUUGUACACACCGCCCGUCACACCACCGAGAGUUUGCAACACCCGAAGUCCGGUGAGGUAACCUUUAUGGAGCCAGCCGCCGAAGGUGGGGCAGAUGAUUGGGGUGAUCAGAACAAACCCCCCCCCCACAAAAAAAAAAACG